rnacentral:rRNA from 1 species
GAUGAACGCUGGCGGCGUGCCUAAUACAUGCCAGUCGAGCGAACAGACGAGGAGCUUGCUCCUCUGACGUUAGCGGCGGACGGGUGAGUAACACGUGGAUAACCUACCUAUAAGACUGGGAUAACUUCGGGAAACCGGAGCUAAUACCGGAUAAUAUAUUGAACCGCAUGGUUCAAUAGUGAAAGACGGUUUUGCUGUCACUUAUAGAUGGAUCCGCGCUGCAUUAGCUAGUUGGUAAGGUAACGGCUUACCAAGGCAACGAUGCGUAGCCGACCUGAGAGGGUGAUCGGCCACACUGGAACUGAGACACGGUCCAGACUCCUACGGGAGGCAGCAGUAGGGAAUCUUCCGCAAUGGGCGAAAGCCUGACGGAGCAACGCCGCGUGAGUGAUGAAGGUCUUCGGAUCGUAAACCUCUGUUAUUAGGGAAGAACAAAUGUGUAAGUAACUAUGCACGUCUUGACGGUACCUAAUCAGAAAGCCACGGCUAACUACGUG